UUCCUACGGGGGGCAGCAGUGGGGAAUAUUGGACAAUGGGCGCAAGCCUGAUCCAGCCAUGCCGCGUGAGUGAUGAAGGCCUUAGGGUUGUAAAGCUCUUUUGUCGGGGACGAUAAUGACGGUACCCGAAGAAUAAGCUCCGGCUAACUUCGUGCCAGCAGCCGCGGUAAUACGAAGGGAGCUAGCGUUGUUCGGAAUCACUGGGCGUAAAGCGCACGUAGGCGGAUUUGUUAGUCAGGGGUGAAAUCCCGGGGCUCAACCUCGGAACUGCCUUUGAUACUGCAAAUCUCGAGUCCGAUAGAGGUGGGUGGAAUUCCUAGUGUAGAGGUGAAAUUCGUAGAUAUUAGGAAGAACACCGGUGGCGAAGGCGGCCCACUGGAUCGGUACUGACGCUGAGGUGCGAAAGCGUGGGGAGCAAACAGGAUUAGAUACCCUAGUAGUCA
rnacentral:rRNA from 1 species